rnacentral:rRNA from 1 species
GACAGAGGGUGCAAACGUUGUUCGGAAUUACUGGGCGUAAAGCGCGUGUAGGCGGCAACGCAAGUCGGAUGUGAAAGCCCAUGGCUCAACCAUGGAAGUGCACCCGAAACUGCGUUGCUAGAGUCUCGGAGAGGAAGGUGGAAUGCUUGGUGUAGAGGUGAAAUUCGUAGAUAUCAAGCGGAACACCGGUGGCGAAGGCGGCCUUCUGGACGAGUACUGACGCUGAGACGCGAAAGCGUGGGUAGCAAACAGGAUUAGAUACCCUGGUAGUCCACGCCGUAAACGAUGAGUGCUAGGUGUCAGAGGCUUUGACCCUUCUGGUGCCGAAGCUAACGCGUUAAGCACUCCGCCUGGGGAGUACGGCCGCAAGGCUAAA